AGGAAGAAGAGGUUGAAGAUGAACUCAAUAAAAAAGGCCGCCGAAAGUGCAACAACUGUGAAAACAUGUCCGUGUACAAUUGCUAUGAUUGCCAUACAGUUUUAUGUAAGGACUGUACCAGAAAACAUAAUAACGAGAACAAGAAUC